GACAAUAACUCAUAUUAGAGAGCUGGCAUCAGACAGCUGUCCAGAUCAGUGUCCCUAAAGUAUACACAGGUCAUUACAUCUCAUUUAUAAAGGUGACUGGAGGGCAGUAAUAACAAUAACAACAUUUAUGGAGGAUUUACCGUGGGCCGGGACCUGGGCUAAACACAAUGUCAGGGUAUCUCCCUUAUCUCACCAAAUCCUUGAGUGAGUGGUCACCUAUCCAGCUCCGGGACCUUAGCAGCUGCAGGACUGGAACCCAGGCAGCCUGACUGCAGAGACCUUGUUCUUCCUGUAACCUCUAUACCCUCCUGGGCUCUGAUGAGUCACCUUGGAAUCUACAGGAGCAGCCCACUGAGCCACACUACUCCAAAGCGACUUAGAGUAUCCAAGCCGCCGCUGAGAUGGGAGAGGCAGGGAGUGCACGUUCCCAGGCUCAGGAGUGAGAUGACACCAGAUCUACAGCUCUAGCCCUGACCUUGCUGAUGGGCCCCUACCGGUCCACGGAUGUCCACCUGGCACUGGCUUAUCAACAAGACAGACAAGCGUGGAUGCAAAGCUGACUAGCAAGCACUUCCUAACUAAGCGACCUUGAGUGUAUGAGUCAGGGGAGUCCAGAUGAGGUAUGUAAACAAUUCCCAA